AUGGAUGAUGUGGACGAUGUCCUAAAGACUGUUAACUUCUUUAGGGAGAUGAAAGCUAUAAAUAGGGAAUUCUUCUGUGACAUGCAACUCGAUGAGUCCGACAGAGUUAAGAACAUAUUCUGGGCGAAUGCAAGCUGCCGAGGGGCCUAUCAGGACUUCAGUGACUGUGUAACAUUUGACACCACAUAUAAGACCAACAAGUACCAUAUGCCACUUGGGGUGUUUGUCGGUACUAACAACCACUUCCAGACUACAUUCUUUGGUUUCGCCCUGAUAAGAGAUGAGGAUGCAGAAUCAUUCAGAUGGUUGUUCAAGACGUUUUUAAGGUGCAUGAGAGGGAAGGCUCCUACAUGCAUCCUCACAGACUAGUGCCCGGCAAUGGCUUUGGCGAUACCAAAAGUUUUCAAGAACACAAUACACAAGUUGUGCCGCUGGCACAUUAUGAAGAAGUACAGGGAACACCUCGCAUACCUUUACUACCUGCACGAAGACUUGAAAGAAGAAUUCACAUCAAUCCUCAACUGGCCCCUCAUGCCAACUGAGUUUGAGGAUGCCUGGAAAGGACUCAUCGAUAGGUACAACCUCCAUGAUGAUGCCAUGAUGCUGGCCAUGUGGAACGAGCGUGAGAAAUGGAUAUCAGCCUACUUCAAAGAAAUUUUCUGCGCCAAAAUGACAUCCACACAGCGAAGUGAGAGCAUGAACUAUGUGCUCAAGAAGAACUUUGUAAGUGAGAGACAAAACCUACACCGGUUUGUCAGCCAGGUAAACUCCUGCGCCAAAACCAGGAGGCAGACAGAGAACCAAGAGACAAUGGGUAACAGGGUAUAG
rnacentral:rRNA from 1 species